rnacentral:rRNA from 1 species
GACGAACGCUGGCGGCGUGCUUAACACAUGCAAGUCGAACGGAAAGGCCCUGCUUUUGUGGGGUGCUCGAGUGGCGAACGGGUGAGUAACACGUGAGUAACCUGCCCUUGACUUUGGGAUAACUUCAGGAAACUGGGGCUAAUACCGGAUAGGAGCUCCUGCUGCAUGGGGGGGGUUGGAAAGUUUCGGCGGUUGGGGAUGGACUCGCGGCUUAUGAGCUUGUUGGUGGGGUAGUGGCUUACCAAGGCUUUGACGGGUAGCCGGCCUGGGAGGGUGGCCGGGGACAAUGGGCCUGAGAGACGGACCAGACUCGUACGGGAGGCAGCGGUCGGAAGUAUUGCACAGUGGGCGCAAGCCUGAUACGGCGGCGCCGCGUGCGGAAAGACGGCCUUCGGGUUAUGAACCGCUUUCGCCUGUGACGAAGCGUUAGUGACGGUAAUGGGUAAAGAAGCACCGGCUAACUACGUG